AGCCAAUGAUGAUUACAAUUGUAUUUAUUCGAUGAAUCAUGAUUACAACAAUACUGCCUUCCUUCUGAGGCU